GUUCAUUACAAUUGGCUAUUGUUAUGCCUGCAUGGACAAAGGUGGUUUUGCCACGAGCGCAGGCAUACUCGUCCUUGCCCAGUCUGUCCACUAAGGGCGUCCUGAAGGGCUCAAGCUGGACUGAACUUGACAAACACGAGAUGGAGCAUGGCAAACAUGGCACCAACAGAGCAUUGCCAUCCUAAGCAUUAAAGGUGAAAGAAUUUGAGACUAUAGAAAACAGGUGUAGUCAUUUAUACCCUCCUUGAAGAGCCACAGGGAAGAAUGCAUUUCCCCUGGAUGUCAGAGGCUUAGAGCUCUCUCUGCUUCCCUUCCCAAGCCUGGGCUAAACCAGUCCCCAAGGAAAACAUUGUGGGAUGAUCUGGAAUCCCACCAGAAACUGAUCUCAACGCUACCUCAGGGCAAGGAGCUGCAGUAGUGCAGGAGGGGGCAAAGUGGGACUAGAAUGGACCAGAACGAACGCUGCUUCCCGUGAAUGCCACGUCUUUCUUGGAUAAGUGUGACCAUGGACUACCCAAGAUUGCCACAUUCUGAAUGUUUAAACUGCUACAAGUAAAGGGCAUUUGAAAACUUCAGCUGGAAGCUAGUACACACAGUCGGUCAACCAUGACUAAAUUGCAAGCCAACAGCGAGCCUGGAAUCCACCCAAAGGUUUGGAUUUCUAUCAGCGUUUAUGAAUGCCGACUGCCCUGCCUCCUCCUGGUUCUUGACCCCUGCAUAUCAAAUGACUUCUCUCACUACCCGGAACUUCAGGAUCAUAACGACAGCUCUUUGGAAUGAGGCAGCAUGUCAACUGGGAAUAGAUUGAUUUCCCUGAAAGAUCGAAUUUACAAUCUUCUGCUGAUUGAAACAUUUGAAGCUUGGUUGAUGAAGUACCAGUGAGGCAGUUUAUACAGCUGCGAGGGCACAGAUGCAGGAAAAGAUGCUGGCUUUCCCUUCAAGUGAGUGCUCACGUGUCCACUGUGAAACAAGGUUCAUGUGCUGGAUGCAUAACCCCUGGCGGGAGGAGUACUUGGAAAGUGAUAAAAACUCUAAGAAGUAAGUUGGGGGCUUGGACACUGGGACACACUGCAGAAGGUAAUUGCUAUUCCCUUAUUCCUCUGAUUCUUGUCUCCCUGAGUUGAAGAAGUGUAUCAUGUGUUUCCAGUACAGUGAUGCUCUGCCCAAGCACAUGGGACCAAGCAGCCAUGAACUGAUCCUCCUGAAACCAUAAGACAAAUCUUUGCUACUUGAACCCAAUCUCUGAGAUAUUUCGAUCAAAGCAGCACAAAUAAACAAGCAAACUUAAGUCAUACAAAAAAAUUGGUUCCAGAAGUGAGGUGUGACUAAAAUAUGACCAUGUAGUUCUUAAGCCUUUGAGACUAACUGGUAUGAAGGAGGAAUUUGAAAAAGUGGAUUUGCAGCCUAGAGAUUACCAGAAGAGUCAAACUGGCAAUUCUGAUAAAAAUUCAGAAGACACAGAGUGUUGACAGAAGUGUGAAGUUAAGAUUAUGUUGUGUGGGGGCUGGCGAGAUGGCUCAGCAGAUAAGAGCGCUGACUGUUCUUCCAAAGGUCCUGAGUUUGGAUCCCAGCAACUACAUGGUGGCUCACAGCCAUCUGUAAUGAGAUCAGAUGGCCUUCUUCUGGUGUGUCUGAAGACAGCUAAGUGAAUUGCAGGCUGGAGCAAGCAAGUGAGUGAGCAAGUGAGUGGGGCUGGCAGAGGUCCUGAGUUCAAUUCC